UACGUAGGGUGCGAGCGUUGUCCGGAAUUAUUGGGCGUAAAGAGCUCGUAGGCGGUGUGUCACGUCGGCCGUGAAAACCUGGGGCUUAACUCUGGGCGUGCGGUCGAUACGGGCAUCACUAGAGUUCGGCAGGGGAGACUGGAAUUCCUGGUGUAGCGGUGAAAUGCGCAGAUAUCAGGAGGAACACCGAUGGCGAAGGCAGGUCUCUGGGCCACUACUGACGCUGAGAAGCGAAAGCGUGGGGAGCGAACAGG
rnacentral:rRNA from 1 species